ACGUUGGAAUUUGAUUCAGUGAAAGGUGCAAAUCAUGCAUAAAUAAGUCAAAUAAAAAGUGAUAUGAUUGGAAAUGAUACUGAAAGUGAAAUGUUUCUCCAACGUCAUAUGAAGGUGGAAGGUUUCUCCAACGUCAUUGUAAAAACUCCAUAGAAAUGAGUAGGUUUUGAAUGUCGAUUCCUAGUCAAGAGACCUGCAUAUCUUUUUACAAGAAAACAUAUAAGAAUGGUCUUUAUAUAAAGGGUGAUUUUUAAGCUAGUAACUUUUUGGCAACGCUGGUUUCGACAGCUCACUCGCCUUUCUUAUUUUGUUUCAUUGUCUAACAUCUUCAGUUUGAUCUAUAAUUCCAGCAUGAAAAGUCUUACAAAUGAAGAACGAUUACAAAUUAUUGAAUUUUAUUAUCAAAAUGCGUGCUCUGUUAGAAAAAUCAUCGCGCAAAAAUUUUGUUGAGCGACUAAGCUAAUUUUUGCCUCAAUGGGUAUGUAAAUAAGCAGAAUUGUCGAUUUUGAAGUGAAGAUCAGCCAGAAGCAUUGCAAGAGCUACCAAUGUAUCCAAAAAAAGUCACAGUUUGGUGCGGUUUAUGGGCUGGUGGCAUCAUUGGACCGUACUUCUUCAAACAUUAUGAGAAUCGUAACGUAACUGUGAAUGGUGAGCGCUAUCGUGAGUUGAUAUCCAACUUUUUUUUGCCCAAAAUGACUUGUAUGACAUGUGGUUUCAACAAGACGGUUCCACAUGCCACACUGCACGCGUAACAAUGGGCUUAUUGAGAGGCGAGUUUGGUGAACAUUUUAUUUCACGUUUGAGACCGGUCAAUUGACCGCCUAGAUCGUGCGAUUUAAUGCCUUAAGACUAUUUUUUGGUGGGGCUAUGUUAAAGCUCAUGUCUAUACAGACAAGCCCCCUUCAAUUGAUGCAUUGGAAGACAACAUGGAAGAAUGUAGAGUAUGCCUAAAUGGGACUAAGCGAAUGAACCAUUUGAGGCGCAGUCACGGUCAAUAUUCGCAUGAAGUAAUCUUCAAACAUUAAUAGAUGGGAGCAGCUCAUUCCAUCGCGGUAUAAUCGAGGCGACGAUAGGAAACCUGGAAGGAAGGGAAGAGGUUUCCGAUCGGAUACCUGAGAUCAACCUUGAAGUCGAGUGCGAGACACUGCUGCCAUCGGCACAGUCUUGGAUUGACGGAACCCUAGUAUUGCCAUCUGGAAGAUUAAAACUAGAAGACAGAGUGGGCCUGGGGGUCUACAUUGAGAACCCAGGGACUGAGAUCUGUUUUAGACUGCCUGACCAUAAUAUGGUCCUGCAGGCGGAGAUCCGCGCGAUCACGGAAUGCGUGAAGUGGUGUGGUGCUAACGCCGACAGUAAAAUUGCCAUAAGGGCGAUAACAACCAGCACGGUAAGCUCACGAACAGUCUUGCAGUGUAAGAAGGAGAUUAACGCCUUCUCUGAGGAUGGCAAAAUCCGCAUCAUUUGGGUGCCGGGCCAUAACGGAGUAAGGGGAAAUGAAAGGGCAGACGAUUUGGCGGUGAAGGCCUGACUGAGGACUGCCGUCAAUAAACUUGGUUAACCCGAUGCCUUUCGUGUCGACGCCUGCAACAUUGUGGAACAGCGAAACGGUCGGUAGGGCGGUGAAAAUCCUAUGGGGGGAUCCAGAUCGUGAGAAGAUGAGUCUAUUACUGAAAGGAAGCAAGAAGGAGGUCAGUAUAGCUUUUGGUAUCUUAACGGGACUCAUAGGACUACGAGCUUACUUAUGUAAAAUCGGGGGGAAGACGAUGAGACCUUGGAGCAUUUCCUUUGUCAUUGCCCGGCUUUAAUCGGAAAUUGAUGCGUUGUCGUUGAGAUUACUACGUGAACAUAUCGUUCACGAAGUAAUUCACGCUCUCGUUCAACAUCUUUUAUGUGUUGGUACCACUAUAGAAUCGGACGGAAAGUGAGAAAAUGCGUUCGCCUGCUCAUUCAAUUUGCCUUCUCAGAUGGUGACAGACCAAGGGCGACACUUCUAGUCGGAAUUGUUUCGAGAAUUUUCAAAGUUGCUUGGAAUUCGUGUUCAUUAAAAGGGGUUAAUUGUCGCUGAAAAUGUUUUCUAAUGUUCUCGCCAAGAGUCGCACCCAGGCCUUCACAGUUAUAGGUGGACAUGCUACCCAUUGUGCCACGAUGGUCUCUAGUUUGUUCCUUGUUGGUAUGUUCGUUGGCAUAUUUGCAUUGUUUGGUAUUUGCAAAUAGUAUUGAUAACAUCUUUGUAUUUCUUAUUAUAGAAAUGACACAUUUAUUUUUUUACACUCCACCAUCGGAUGGUAGUAGAUUAACGUCGCCAUUCCGUUUGGAACACAUCGAAAUAUUGGUAUAAGACCCCAUUAAGCAUAAAUAUUCUUGAUUUUAAGUCGAUCUAGCCACGUCGGUCCGUCCGUCCGUCUGUUCUUUCUUCCGCCUGUCUGUGGGAAGCACACUAACUUUCGAAGGAAGCGCUUGAGAUUUUGCACAAAUACUUUCUAUAGGUGUAGGUCGUACAUGGGCAUUUUAGGUCCGGGUUUUAAUAUAGCUGCCAUAAAAUCCGAUCUUGGAUCUUGAUUUCUAGAGCCUCUAGAAUGCGCAAUUCUUAUUCGAACUGAUAUAAAUCCCAUAUAAACUGAUCUCACGAUUUUACUUCUAGAGCCUAUAGAUGGCGCUAUUGUAAUGCAAUUUGUCUGAAAUUUUGCACAAUGACUUCUACUAUGAUCACCAACAUCCAAGCAUGGUCCGAAUCGAUCCAUAACCUGACAUGGCUCCAAUAACAUGGAAAAUUUUAAUUCAUAAUCAUUUGUUUGGCAAAAAAGAGAUACUAGGCCAGGAAUUUGACAAAUGCGGAUGGUAUUUAGAAUUCGGCCCGGUCGAAGUUAGCCUUCUCUUACUUGUUUAAAUAUAAAUUUUUUAAAUAAAAAUUUUUUAUAUACAAAUUUUUGAGUCACAAAACGAUUGCAUCUGAAUAAACAACUAUGACACAUAUUUGUGUUCGUAUUAAAAAAUUUCCAGUGUUUUAUUGGGUUAAUAUUUGUUUAAAUGUCAAACAAUGAAUUCCUGAGAAACAUCAACAAAAUUAUUUGGGGGCAUUGGUAGAAGGGUUUGGGUGCCUACCCUCACCCAUAGAAGUUCAAUCAAAAUUAUCUUUUUGUGAUCUCAUAUCAAUGAACAGCGAAACGGUCGGUAGGACGAUGAAAAUCCUAUGGGGUUCCAGAUCGUGAGAAGACGAGGCUAUUACUGAAAGGAAGUAAGAAGGAAGUCAGUAUAGCUAUUGGUAUCAUAAUAAGACAAAUAGGACUACGAGCUCACUAAUGUAAAAUCGGUGCGCUCGUUUUCCAAUUCCUUCCUGUGGUCCAAAUGAAGAAUUCACAACUUGCGGCUUUGCAUGUCCCCUAACCUGUGAUAACCCUUUGG